rnacentral:rRNA from 1 species
AGCAGCCGCGGUAAUUCCAGCUCCAAUAGCGUAUAUUAAAGUUGUUGCAGUUAAAAAGCUCGUAGUUGAAUUUCGGGAUCAAUUAGUCGGUCGUGCCUCUGGUACGUACUGGUUUUAUUGGUUCCUCCCUUCUGACGAAACAUGAUGUCAUUAAUUUGGUGUCGUGGAGAAUCAGGACUGUUACCUUGAAAAAUUAGAGUGUUUAUAGCAGGCUAACGCUUGAAUACAUUAGCAUGGAAUAAUGAAAUAGGACGUUCGACCCUAUUUUGUUGGUUUCUAGGAUCGACGUAAUGAUUAAUAGGGAUAGUUGGGGGCAUUAGUAUUCAAUUGUCAGAGGUGAAAUUCUUGGAUUUAUUGAAGACUAACUACUGCGAAAGCAUUUGCCAAGGAUGUUUUCAUUAAUCAAGAACGAAAGUUAGGGGAUCGAAGACGAUCAGAUACCGUCGUAGUCUUAACCAUAAACUAUGCCGACUAGGGAUCGGAUGAUGUUAAUUUUUAAUGUACUCAUUCGGCGCCUUAC